rfam:Rhodobacter aestuarii strain DSM 19945 genome assembly, contig: Ga0111637_108
CGCGUAUUUUGCGAUGGCGGAGCUCGACCGCCGGUCGAAGUGAUGGUGGGUUUCAUCGAUGCGCAUCGGAAUGCGCACGGGGUCGAGCCGAUCUGCGAGAUGCUGCCGAUCGCCCCG